ensembl:lincRNA
GUGAGCUCUACGCUUCAGCAACAAGACCCUGUAGAUCUGGAGAGCACUGGGACUGAGGGGAGCAUUUCUAUGGACUUGGAGCCUUCCAUAUACUAUUCUCAGCCUCUGAUGAGACCAAUAAUCAAGCAAGAAAUCUCAAAUUCCAUGAGUACUUCUGAAGAACGGGGUGGUCCUUUGGGGCCAGUCUCCUCCAGGCACGCCUUCCUGCCGUGGGCAAACCCGAAAUUUGAGCAACAAUUCUCUGCGGGUCCAGAGAGUGUUGCCAUCCAAGGGCAUAUUCCUGGGGAGCUUCCCAGACAUCUUCCCCAGGCCACUAUGAGACAGAAGGUCCAGACCAUGUUCUCAAGUCUCGAGGGUGCUACUGUUGAGGGAGGCAUUUCCGAGGAGGAGUCACUGUCUCCCACACAUCCCUCCCAUUUCUUAGUGAGAUCUAAAGUUCAGGAAAUGCCCUCAACCCUAGAGAGUGCUGCUGCUGCUGAAGAAAGCAUUUCUAAGAAAUUACGGCUUCUGAAGAGUCCUUCCCACUCAUUCCUGAAGUUCAUGGCACAGCAAAUCUUUUCAGAUAGCUCUAGUACUGAGAGGGGAAUUUAUGUGCGUCCUCCGUCUCCAAGUCUCCCUUCCAAAUCUUUGUUGAGGCCUGAAGUUGAGCACCAAGUUUUCUCAGGUUGGGAGAAUCUCGACAUUGCUGAAAGCAUUUCUUUGAAGCAUGCUUUAAAGUCCCUGGGGAGGCCUGCAGACCCACAGGAAAGUCUGUCAUUUUCAGAGAGGGCUCCUAUGAAACAGAGCAGUUCUAAAUGGCAGGUACCUUCCUGGCAUUCCCCAGGGAGCCUUAGGUACCAGCCAGACGUCUCCUCAGUUUCUGGCAUCUCUUCUGAAGAAUGGAGGAGCUAUGAAGAGCAGCUGCCUUCCAGACACCCUUCUGAAGCCUUAGGUGGGUUUGAAUUCCUGCCACCAGCAGGCUCAGUGAAUGUCCCUGUUCAGUGGAGCAACCUCGGGGAACACCAACCUCCUAGGCAUUUGCCCCAAGCUUUUGCAAAUGCUGAGUAUCAGCAGCAGGUUUAUCCAGGUGCCAUGAGUGCCGCUGCCGACGUCACCAUCUUUGAGAACAAUUCUGGAAGCUGGUUCCCACCAAAAGGCCCAGUUUCACCAACGAAAACCAAGAAACACAGCCAAGGCUCCGAAGAUUUCACUCAAAGCAUCUCAACCUCAGCUCCUAAGCCAGGGAAGUUUAUCACUGCUCGUACCUGGAAAAUACCCUUUUCUAGGGAUACUUACUAUAAGGGGGAAAUUCUUCAGAGCGGUGAUAGAAGUAAUGAUGAUCAUUCACAUUUGCUCACCAGUGAAGCUGAAGCUGAUGUGGAAAAUCUUCCUGGAAUCCAACAGAAAAGAAUGUCUUCUCCACACAGCUAUAAGAAGGAGAGACCAGCUAGCUUUACCCAGCUUCCUUCACUGCCCUUGGGCCCAAUUUCAUCCAGUAGAGGCAGAGAGCAGCAAAUGAGAAGAGGUGCUUCCCAGGCGUUCCUGGACACCACAGACAGUCUCACCACACCACCUACCCGUGUGGAGAAGUAUCAGAGCAGGGCCAAAUAUGAAGGCGUGGCCAAGAAGCAACCAACUUACAAGAUCCCAGGAAAACCUGUCCGGCAAUCAGAUUAUUACGUCUCAGAUCCAGCUUGGUUUACCAUGGCAAGGCAGAAACACGAGGGCUCCCAGGUGUACACUCCUGUGAAAGAGACCAAGACCAAGAGCAGAGCUGGACCCAAGACUGACACUAAGGAGUAUAGACAUGGAACAAGACCCGAGGCAGCCCAGAAAACACCCCAGAAGGUUGCUGGAGCCACUGAUUGAGCUUCCAUUGGGGAUUUGCCAGACAUGCAGCAACCCCCCCCCACCACCAAACCAAUUUGAGAGUAUUAAUCAAGUCAAGGAGACACUUCAGGGGACAAGACUAGGCUUUGUACUUACAUAAAUAUAACCUGCUUUAUGCAGUUAAUGGGUUUAUGAAAAGUAACUAAUACAGGGGGAGGGGAGGAUUUUAUAUCAAAUCCUGU